UUUGUUGUUUCUAAUGUAAAACAAUAUCUCCUCUCUUUACUUUCUUUUCUGUGUCUUCACCUAGGAUAGGGUAAUUUCCUUCCACCUCGUGUUCUUCCUCAUUACAUCUUUCCUCCUCUUGGUUCUCAAAUAUAGUGUUCCCACAUGCAAGUGUUCAGUGUUCAAGCCAUGAAUCAACCCUGGCAAUAAUAAUAUUCAAAAGAGUUUACGUUGUCCAAAUGCAGGUUUUCUUAAAUUUGAAAUCUCUACCUCAUUCUCCAUGCUGUACCUCUUGGCUCGAAAUUUCACCACAAAAUCAGGACAGUUCGGUGAAAUAUGUAAGAACUUGGUGGAUGGUUAAGCAAAAGGGACAAAAUGCUCAGUUUCUCCCAUUGAGCAGGUACGAAAAAUGCCCUCGAAAAUAAUUCCAAUGAGUCAUGCUAAUGUCAAUUACUCCCCAUAACGACACAUGAUUC
rnacentral:lncRNA from 1 species